CAGCCGCCGCGGGAAUACGUAGGGUGCAAGCGUUAAUCGGAAUUACUGGGCGUAAAGCGUGCGCAGGCGGUUAUAUAAGACAGAUGUGAAAUCCCCGGGCUCAACCUGGGAACUGCAUUUGUGACUGUAUAGCUAGAGUACGGCAGAGGGGGAUGGAAUUCCGCGUGUAGCAGUGAAAUGCGUAGAUAUGCGGAGGAACACCGAUGGCGAAGGCAAUCCCCUGGGCCUGUACUGACGCUCAUGCACGAAAGCGUGGGGAGCAAACAGGAUUAGAUACCCCUGUAGUCCCUGUCUCUUAUAA
rnacentral:rRNA from 1 species